CAGACAGCAGCGCGGUAGUUUGUUAGUCCAGUUUGAAACUGCUGAGAAUGUGAGUCUUCGCGGGUGUUGGAAGGUCCUUGAACAUCUACAAGAUUGUUGUAUGUACGUUGAAGAUUUCGGCAUUAUAGUCGCCCUCGAAGACUAUAACGCAUCUACUUUCCUCUGGACUAAAUUUCGUAACUAUGCUUUAUUCUAUAACUAAAGGUUGUUGGUAAGAACAGAGCAGCAAUUAAAAUUAAUGCUGGUAAGAAACCUAGAAUAAGAACAACAAUUACUUUCUAACUCCUAUACCACUGGGAUAAGCUACGAAGGUUCAUGAAAGUUGACUUUAAGAUCCUAGGAUAGCAACAGAACUUUCAUUGGUUGUGCCUACAGAAAUAAUGAA